CAAAAUGUGCUUUUGUGUGUGUGUAUGUGUGUGCGUGUGUGUGUGAGUGAGUGAGUGAGUGAGUGAGAGAGAGAGAGAGAGAGAGAGAGAGAGAGAGAGAGAGAGAGAGAGGGAGGGAGGGAGAGAGAGAGAUCAUGUGAUUAGCACUACCAACGAAGAGGCAGCUCCAUUUUGUCACCCCUAGAGGUUUCUGGCUCACUAGUCAAGCUUUUCUCUGCACCAACCAUCACUUGGUUUUCCUCUCUACAGUCUUCUCUUUUCUAGGACAUCACAUAAGAAGAGUUGGGCGGAUGAUUCUGAGCUUAGCAUCUUCUGUGUAAUGCAGCCAAGAAUCAGCCAAGCUGUGCUCAAUACCAGCUCCUCUCUUACUGUUGGGAAGUGUUCUGUUGUCAGCUGCACUGAAUGCUUUUAUCCAUCCAUCUUCUGUACAAUUUGGGGGUUGUUUCUGGUCUGUGGCCACAGUAGAAAUUUUUAGAAACCCCUUUUCAGGAACCAAUAGAAUACAAGAUCCAAUCCAGUUAACAAUUUAGAAGGUUUAGACUUCUUUAGCCAGCCCCACCCUGUUGGUGUGUAUGGAUUACUCAUGCUUUGCAAGGGCAUGCAGGGCAUUUCCUAAAAAUAGACUACACCCUAAGCUCUAAAUAACGCAAGAACAAGCCCAGCAUGGUGGAGCAGGCCUGUUAAUCUCAGCGCCUGGGCACUGAGGCAGUUGGGAUGGAAGUCUCCAAUCACCCUGGGCUAGAUAGAGCCUGUGCCCAUAGUGCCAACUACUCUGAGAAUAAGGUGAAGGUCUGCUUGAGCUCAGGAGUUCUAGAUCAGCUACAGCAGUGUAGAAAGAUCCCACAAUUAACACAGAAACCCACAGCUAGAUAACAUGUAGAGAGUGAGAGACUUUGGAGCACUCAACCCUAAAUGGGAUUUAUUUAUUUAUUUAUUUAUUUGAUAUUUUCUUUAUAUACAUUUCAAAUGCUAUCCCGAAAGUUCCCUAUACCCUCCCUCUGCCCUGCUCCCCUACCCACCCACUCCCGCUUCUUGGCCCUGGCAUUUCCCUGUACUGGGGCAUAUAAAGUUUACAAUGCCAAGGGGCCUCUGUUCCCAGUGAUAGCUGACUAGGCCAUCUUCUGCUGCAUAUGCAGCUAGAGAUAUGAGCUCUGGGGGUACUGCUUAGUUCAUAUUGUUGUUCCACCUAUAGGGUUGCAGACCCCUUCAGUUCCUUGGGUGCUUUCUCUAGCUUCUCUAUUGGGGGCCCUGUGUUCCAUCUUAUAGAUGACUGUGAGCAUAAAUGGGCUGUUCUUAACACAUCCCAUCUGCCAAGGAUCAAGGAUCUAGGCAGAAGGGGUGGCAGAAGUGGUGGACGAUGCCAAGGAAACAGUCUUCAAGACACAACAGGACGGAUGCACACAUGAACUCAGACUUGAGCAGCACCCACAGGAUGAACACCAGUGCCCACCAAUGAAAAAGGAGAAAGUAUGCAAAGUCCCACCCCUAACCAAGAUCCUGUUUGCAAUGGAUACCUACUAGGAACAGGAAAAUCGGCUUUCUUCAGCGGAAUGCCAAAUCACCCACACUCCAAGGCAGGCCUUAUGCCCAGGAGCAGCUGGCU
rnacentral:lncRNA from 1 species